ACUCCUACGGGAGGCAGCAGUGGGGAAUUUUGGACAAUGGGGGCAACCCUGAUCCAGCCAUGCCGCGUGAGUGAAGAAGGCCUUCGGGUUGUAAAGCUCUUUCAGCCGGGAAGAAAUCGCACAGGCUAAUACCUUGUGUGGAUGACGGUACCGGAAUAAGAAGCACCGGCUAACUACGUGCCAGCAGCCGCGGUAAUACGUAGGGUGCGAGCGUUAAUCGGAAUUACUGGACGUAAAGCGUGCGCAGGCGGUUUUGUAAGACAGGCGUGAAAUCCCCGGGCUCAACCUGGGAACUGCGCUUGUGACUGCAAGGCUAGAGUACGGCAGAGGGGGGUGGAAUUCCACGUGUAGCAGUGAAAUGCGUAGAGAUGUGGAGGAACACCAAUGGCGAAGGCAGCCCCCUGGGUCGAUACUGACGCUCAUGCACGAAAGCGUGGGUAGCAAACAGGAUUAGAUACCCUGGUAGUCCACGCCCUAAACGAUGUCAACUAGGUGUUGGGUGGGUAAAACCAUUUAGUACCGGAGCUAACGCGUGAAGU
rnacentral:rRNA from 1 species